GCUGGUGGUGUGAUGGUCUGGUGCGGCGUUGAGCGUCAUGUUGAGAAUCUUUUAUGCAGGUGAAUCUGGCGGUGGACGAUCGAACUGUGGCUGUGAAACCUCAUGGCGACAUCUCAAGACUCUGGCAAGUUAACUUUUACUGUUCACGUAACCUGUGGGGGUGUAAGCGUACAUCAUGAAGGCUACCGGAGUGCAUUGCUGACUGGCUGGACAAGGAAUAGAGAGCAGCUACAGACAGACACCGCUGGCAAGGUCAACAGGACACACGAACGAACCCACACGUACUCGAUGGCCGCGGGAAGGACGAACAGUGAAAAGACAAAUUGAUGUCCAACAUCCUAUGGGAGAACUUAACUUCUUAAUGUUCCUAAGACACUGACUUUUCAUGAUCUUCAUGGAAUGUCGAUCCUCUUGCUCGUGGAUCUCCAUCCUCCGUCAGUGUUACCUAGUUUUGUAUAUCUAUCUUUUCCAUACGGUUUACUAGCUUAUACAUUCAUCUUUGCCUGUAUGGUGACCAUACCACGGCUGCAUAUUCUAGUCUAGGUCUUAUCAUAGUGAUUAUGAUCUUUUUCAUUAUGUUUUUAUCCAUGUUCAAAUUGAACGCCACUCUGAUAUUAGUUAGUGUCUUAUAUGUUGAGGUAAAUAGUUCAUUUAUGUGUCUUUCUGGAGUUAGAGUGUCUUGUAUAAUCACUUCCAUGCAGGUAUUUCCCUACACUCCUUUUCAUUAUAAUCUCUUCUCCCAUUUUAUACUGACACGUAGGUCUAUUACUUUUACCAAUAUGUAUUACAUGACAUUUGUUGGUAUGAAAUUCUAAUCUCCAAUU